GUUGAUUCAAUAGAUUAGUUAUGGAGAUGGAAGACGCUUCUCACCACCAUUAUCUCUCCUUAUGAUUAAACCAAUUAGGGAACGUCCUCUAAUUAAUUACUAAUUAACAAAUUGCUAAGGAACGUCCUUGGGCCUUAGGCAUCAAAACAAUUGUCAAUUGCAUUAAGAAAUAGAGAGAUCCAAUCCUAGCUAUCCAAACGUAUGGAGAUAACGCUAGAUCAUACAAUUUCCUUGGGUUUUAUCCCAAGUGUUCUUAUGUAAGAAUAAUCUAAGCAAUUAUGGACUUAAA
rnacentral:lncRNA from 1 species